rnacentral:rRNA from 1 species
AACGAACGCUGGCGGCAUGCCUAACACAUGCAAGUCGAACGAAGUCUUCGGACUUAGUGGCGCACGGGUGCGUAACGCGUGGGAAUCUGCCCUUGGGUACGGAAUAACUCAGAGAAAUUUGUGCUAAUACCGUAUAAUGUCUUCGGACCAAAGAUUUAUCGCCCAAGGAUGAGCCCGCGUAAGAUUAGCUAGUUGGUGAGGUAAAAGCUCACCAAGGCGACGAUCUUUAGCUGGUCUGAGAGGAUGAUCAGCCACACUGGGACUGAGACACGGCCCAGACUCCUACGGGAGGCAGCAGUGGGGAAUAUUGGACAAUGGGCGAAAGCCUGAUCCAGCAAUGCCGCGUGAGUGAUGAAGGCCUUAGGGUUGUAAAGCUCUUUUACCCGGGAUGAUAAUGACAGUACCGGGAGAAUAAGCUCCGGCUAACUCCGUGCCAGCAGCCGCGGUAAGAGUGUGUGUA